UUGAACGCUGGCGGCAGGCCUAACACAUGCAAGUCGAGCGGAUGAUGGGAGCUUGCUCCCGGAUUCAGCGGCGGACGGGUGAGUAAUGCCUAGGAAUCUGCCUGGUAGUGGGGGACAACGUUUCGAAAGGAACGCUAAUACCGCAUACGUCCUACGGGAGAAAGUGGGGGACCUUCGGGCCUCACGCUAUCAGAUGAGCCUAGGCCGGAUUAGCUAGUUGGUGAGGUAAAGGCUCACCAAGGCGACGAUCCGUAACUGGUCUGAGAGGAUGAUCAGUCACACUGGAACUGAGACACGGUCCAGACUCCUACGGGAGGCAGCAGUGGGGAAUAUUGGACAAUGGGCGAAAGCCUGAUCCAGCCAUGCCGCGUGUGUGAAGAAGGUCUUCGGAUUGUAAAGCACUUUAAGUUGGGAGGAAGGGCAGUAAGCGAAUACCUUGCUGUUUUGACGUUACCGACAGAAUAAGCACCGGCUAACUCUGU
rnacentral:rRNA from 1 species